rfam:Drosophila virilis strain TSC#15010-1051.87 Ctg01_14833, whole genome shotgun sequence.
AAGUAGAGAGAAUAGACGCUGUGCUGUAUGUUUUGCGUAUGGUCUAUAUCACAGUGGCUGUUCUUUUUGUAC